rnacentral:rRNA from 1 species
UACAGAGGCCUCGAGCGUUAGGCGGAAUCACUGGGCUUAAAGCGUGUGUAGGCGGAUUGCUAAGUACCUUGUGAAAUCCCACGGCUUUAACCGUGGAACUGCUUGGUAUACUGGCUGUCUUGAGCCACUUAGGGGCGACCGGAACAAACGGUGGAGCGGUGAAAUGCGUAGAUAUCGUUUGGAACGCCAAAAGGUGAAAACAGGUCGCUGGGGAGUGUG